rnacentral:misc_RNA from 1 species
GGGGACUACAGGGGUAUCUAAUCCUGUUUGCUCCCCACGCUUUCGUGCCUCAGUGUCAGUGCUGGUCCAGAUGGCCGCCUUCGCCACGGAUGUUCCUCCCGAUCUCUACGCAUUUCACUGCUACACCGGGAAUUCCGCCAUCCUCUACCGCACUCCAGUCCGCCAGUAUCCAAUGCCAUUCCCAGGUUGAGCCCAGGGCUUUCACAUCAGACUUAACGAACCACCUACGCACUCUUUACGCCCAGUAAUUCCGAGUAACGCUUGCACCCUUCGUAUUACCGCGGCUGCUGGCACGC